rnacentral:rRNA from 2 species
CAGAAGUGCGAAUGCUGACAUAAGUAACGAUAAAGCGGGUGAAAAGCCCGCUCGCCGGAAGACCAAGGGUUCCUGUCCAACGUUAAUCGGGGCAGGGUGAGUCGACCCCUAAGGCGAGGCCGAAAGGCGUAGUCGAUGGGAAACAGGUUAAUAUUCCUGUACUUGGUGUUACUGCGAAGGGGGGACGGAGAAGGCUAUGUUGGCCGGGCGACGGUUGUCCCGGUUUAAGCGUGUAGGCUGGUUUUCCAGGCAAAUCCGGAAAAUCAAGGCCGAGGCGUGAUGACGAGGCACUACGGUGCUGAAGCAACAAAUGCCCUGCUUCCAGGAAAAGCCUCUAAGCAUCAGGUAACAUCAAAUCGUACCCCAAACCGACACAGGUGGUCAGGUAGAGAAUACCAAGGCGCUUGAGAGAACUCGGGUGAAGGAACUAGGCAAAAUGGUGCCGUAACUUCGGGAGAAGGCACGCUGAUACGUAGGUGAAGCGACUUGCUCGUGGAGCUGAAAUCAGUCGAAGAUACCAGCUGGCUGCAACUGUUUAUUAAAAACACAGCACUGUGCAAACACGAAAGUGGACGUAUACGGUGUGACGCCUGCCCGGUGCCGGAAGGUUAAUUGAUGGGGUUAGCGCAAGCGAAGCUCUUGAUCGAAGCCCCGGUAAACGGCGGCCGUAACUAUAACGGUCCUAAGGUAGCGAAAUUCCUUGUCGGGUAAGUUCCGACCUGCACGAAUGGCGUAAUGAUGGCCAGGCUGUCUCCACCCGAGACUCAGUGAAAUUGAACUCGCUGUGAAGAUGCAGUGUACCCGCGGCAAGACGGAAAGACCCCGUGAACCUUUACUAUAGCUUGACACUGAACAUUGAGCCUUGAUGUGUAGGAUAGGUGGGAGGCUUUGAAGUGUGGACGCCAGUCUGCAUGGAGCCGACCUUGAAAUACCACCCUUUAAUGUUUGAUGUUCUAACGUGGACCCGUGAUCCGGGUUGCGGACAGUGUCUGGUGGGUAGUUUGACUGGGGCGGUCUCCUCCUAAAGAGUAACGGAGGAGCACGAAGGUUGGCUAAUCCUGGUCGGACAUCAGGAGGUUAGUGCAAUGGCAUAAGCCAGCUUGACUGCGAGCGUGACGGCGCGAGCAGGUGCGAAAGCAGGUCAUAGUGAUCCGGUGGUUCUGAAUGGAAGGGCCAUCGCUCAACGGAUAAAAGGUACUCCGGGGAUAACAGGCUGAUACCGCCCAAGAGUUCAUAUCGACGGCGGUGUUUGGCACCUCGAUGUCGGCUCAUCACAUCCUGGGGCUGAAGUAGGUCCCAAGGGUAUGGCUGUUCGCCAUUUAAAGUGGUACGCGAGCUGGGUUUAGAACGUCGUGAGACAGUUCGGUCCCUAUCUGCCGUGGGCGCUGGAGAACUGAGGGGGGCUGCUCCUAGUACGAGAGGACCGGAGUGGACGCAUCACUGGUGUUCGGGUUGUCAUGCCAAUGGCACUGCCCGGUAGCUAAAUGCGGAAGAGAUAAGUGCUGAAAGCAUCUAAGCACGAAACUUGCCCCGAGAUGAGUUCUCCCUGACCCUUUAAGGGUCCUGAAGGAACGUUGAAGACGACGACGUUGAUAGGCCGGGUGUGUAAGCGCAGCGAUGCGUUGAGCUAACCGGUACUAAUGAACCGUGAGGCUUAACCUU